AGAUCUGGAGGGGAGAACAUGCCCAGCAUUGCAAGAAGCUGUUUCAGGAAGAGUGGAAACUACAUAGAGUAUAUCAUGCCUCAUCAAAUCUGCCAAGUUUAAUCUGCCAUUACAGAGAGAGAGCUGGCUAAGGGUGCAGCUCUACCAUUAAGGAAGAAGCAAGAGCGGAAGAAGCAGCAGGUGUCACAGAAUCUUUCUGCUCCUCAUUAAAACGUUGAAACCAGUGCAUGAAAAGGACACCACCUGGUUAGACAACUAUCAAUAUUGAUGGUUACAAGCAUGUGGUGAUGUACCGCUCUUUCGGGAUCCUCUCUUAAUCUGCACUCAUGCUCUUUCAAGAUGAGCUCAGAUGUACGAGGGAAAGAGGAGAGGACCCACAGCUGCACUGCAUCUUGUCCCUGCCAGCAAGUGUCUUUGUCGCUAACAUCAGAAUCCAACCAGAGAGUGGACGAGGGAAUAAAAGGCACAGGAAAACUUAAGGAAACAAAAAUCUGCUAAAUCGAACUGGAUGGCUUUUGUCCUGCUUUUAUGGAAGUCUCUGUGCGAGAGAAAUACAGCUGAGUAGAUAUGUUCCUUUUUUAACCCUGGACUACUGAACAAACUGCAGCAAACUCCGCUGGAAGGUAAGGGGCUGCGCUAUACUAGGAAAAGAUCAGAAGAGUUGUGAUGCAGCAUGAGUUGAUAUACAUCAGAGAGAUACCUACUGUGCGGAAACUACACCUUAUGGACAUGAUACAGCCCACUCAUCGGCGACCUGGGCUAGGGAAACAACUUGUGAUAGACAGUGGAUGAUCAGUUCUGUUGCUCAUUGCCCUGGUCCUCCCGUCAGGACUCGCACACCAAUCAACUCCCCCUCUCAGCGAGGCUCGUUCUUUCCCACCCCCAACCUCUACUGUCCUGUUUAAAACUGAAACCUAUUUUUUGGCCUCUGCUCGCAGCCCAAUAUGGUUUUGGUUGUCAAGAUUAUUCACAUGGUUCUAGGUCAGGCUAAGCUUGAGGCCAGCUCCAUCCAUGGGAGGUGCAGAUGCAACCCUCUUGAAGAUUUGGUCCAAAAUUAGCAAUAAAAACCACAUGCAUGUACUGUACUAGGCUGGAUUCUCCACUGCCGUAAGUGGGUGUAGUUCCCAUGACUAAUAGAACGGUGUAUGCCCAUUUUAGUGAGAAUGUGGCCCAUUCUAUCUAGGUGUUGUAACAUGAUUGGGAAUUUUUAGUUUCUAAACUUUCUUGGGACCUGAUCCAAAGUCUAUUGAAGUCAAUGGAGAAGGGCUAGUGCCUUCAAUUGACUUUAGAUUGGGCCCUUGAUGGGGGGGGAAAAACAAGCUGUGCAAUGUCUGUGCGGGAUUUAUUUUUUUUAAUCUACACAAAGCCAAAAUGUGGGU